UCUCCCCACUCCAGGCAGCUGCUGCCCGGUUUCCAUUGCCUGUCCUGUGACCGGCCCCUCAACAUGCUGGCGCCUGGACCGUGAGUAACUGCCCCCCGAACAGGGAGCACCCCCUGACCCCUCCCUGGCGUCGAGUGACACAUGGGGUGCCACCUGCCGGGCACUGAGCACCCCCAUGUCCUGUCCCACAGGGAGCGGACGGGCGAGUGCAGAUACCCCACUGUUCCGCGGAGCUGUGGGGGCCCACACACCGUCACGCCCCCGCGCUUCCAGCCCCAACCGCCCAGCACCCCACGGCCGUCCCAACCCAGUGCCCGCCGCCCCAACAAGAAGGACGCGAUGCAGCUGUCGGGCCAGGACGGCACUGAUGGGAAGCGGCAGGACGAGCAGCUCUCCAUGAUGGGGGGCUCUCAGCUGCCCACAACACCAACGGCCACCCCAGAGACCUCAACCUCGAGGAGCCAGAAAAGCACCGCCUCCCCGCUGCUGUUAGCCGUGCUGAAGCGCCAACCAGCCUCAUCUCCCGGACGCCUCACCCAGGCACCGAAGCUGCUGCCACACCGCAUUAAAUCAGCGCCCUGACAGCCGGGCAGGACGGGGGUCCCGGCCCCGGUCCCACCGCCCCGGGUGCUGAGCCGGCAGCGGCUGCAAUAAAUGGC